rnacentral:rRNA from 1 species
UACGUAGGGUGCAAGCGUUGUCCGGAAUUAUUGGGCGUAAAGAGCUCGUAGGCGGUCUGUCGCGUCGAAUGUGAAAACCCGGGGCUCAACCCCGGGCCUGCAUUCGAUACGGGCAGACUAGAGUUCGGUAGGGGAGUCUGGAAUUCCUGGUGUAGCGGUGAAAUGCGCAGAUAUCAGGAGGAACACCAGUGGCGAAAGCGGCCACCUGGACUGUACCUGACGCUGAAACGCGAAAGCUAGGGGAGCGAACGGG